GAUGAACGCUGGCGGCGUGCCUAAUACAUGCAAGUCGAGCGCAGCUGGGACGGGUGAGUAACCCGUAGAUAACCUCCUAUAAGCCUGGGAUAACUUCUGGAAACCGUAGCUAAACCGGAUACUUAUAGAUGAACCCGCUUUGCAUUCGCUAUUUGGUAAGGUAAGGGCUUACCAAGGCAACGAUGCAUAGCCGACCUGAGAGGGUGAUCGGCCACAUUGGAACUGAGACACGGUCCAGACCCCUACGGGAGGAAGAAUUAGGGAAUCUUCGGCAAUGGGCGAAAGCUGGACGGAGAAACGCGGCUGGAGGGAGGAAGGUUUUCGGACGGUAAAACUCGGUGAUUAGGGAAGCGGUACCUAAUCAGAAAGCCACGGCUAACUACGUGCCAGCAGCCGCGGUAAUUC
rnacentral:rRNA from 1 species